GUUCACCAAACUGUCCGUUUGAACGAGUCAGUUAAAAACAGAGGUUUUAGUCUCUCUAGCUAAUUUUCCCUCGCUCAUGACGACAUUACUGAGGGUGGACUUUUAUAUUAAUCAUCUGUUCAAAUUAAUUCAAAUUAAAUUAAGGCUUAAAGUUGUGCAUAAUUAAGAGCGUGGACGCUUUAAUUUGACAGGUGUCGACCACCAACGGCUUCGGUGACGUCACGAAUACUUGGCUCUAAGGGUUGUGGGGGAGCUGGAGCCUAUCCCAGCUGAAUUAGGGCGAGAGGCAACUCUACCAUCCUGGACAAUGCCAGAGCCGCAGGAGGACAAAUCAUCACUGUGGAGCAUCACUAUAAAGAUGGGUGGCCUUGGUAGUGACUCGUGUUCCCUGCCUCUUCGGUAUCAGCGCCAAACACAUUGCUGAUGCCAUGUGUCAGACCUUUGACUGCACCUGAUCUCCUACUGCUUUAUUACAUCACCCUGAACAAAUCGCCAGUUCAUUAAGUGUAUGCCUUUGGACUGUGGGAGGAAGUCUGAGUACCAGGAUCGCACCAAUAUGUGAUUGCUAAACAAGGUGGGUGCUGUUACAGGUGGCUUCUUUGAGCGCUCAGGCAUCAUUCAGGAGCACAGCCGGAGCCACAGAAUUUGAGCAUCACAACAGCUCUUCAGAAACCUGUGAGGGACGUCACGCACAUGCUGUUCUUUCUUUACUGUCAGUGGUUCAGAGUUCAGUCGAUUUUGGAGUGACGUCUGCACAUUUCAUAUUGUGUACUAGUGGAUCUUGACCUCCCCCAGUAUGGUGACCCUGCUGACGUAUAGUGGUGAUAUACAGCAGUGGCCAAUGAUGUAUUUAUGUUUUUGUUUUUUUAUAUCUAUGAGCAUUUGGCUUAAAGUCUCACAGAGCUGCUGGCAUGAAUGUAGACUUAGUAACAUGGGUCAUGGUAUGAUUUACAGACGUCAGUGGAUCAGAGGUUAUAGAUUAAAUGUGACCUUGUGACUUCAGUUCAUAAAUCAUAAAUGUCAGUGUCAUCAUAUUUAUAUUAGCAUUAAGUUUAAAGCACUGCUGUGCCUAGAGCUGAUACUAGUCUUGCUAAUAGCUCAGCAGUGGAAAGAGGUUUGGAGACAUUUUUUAUAGGAAGGAAUAAGAUUUUUAAAAAACUGAAUAAAAAACUGCAAAUCUUCACAGAAAUGUUUUAACUCUCACACAGUGAAGAGAGUAUUCUGUUUGUCAACCAGUUUCUUUCAUUAAAAUCAUACUUGCGUCAGCCAUGUUGCAAUUAAUUCAUCAAUCAUCUACCACCCA